GGUUUUGCCAUAUAUCAACAUGAAUCUGUCACCCCAUUGAUCGUUAGGGUUGAUUCGGCUGAUCUGGCUGGCUAGGCGGGUGUCCCCUUCCUCCCUCACCGCUCCAUGUGCAUCCCUCCGGAAGCUGUGCACUCGGUCGAAGAGGACGACCAUCCCCCAUAGAGGAGGACCGGUCUUCGGUCCAAGGGUAUACGAAUAGCUGAGCUCCCGGCUAGAACCUCCAAACAAAUCUAAUUCUCUUUAUCUCUGUCCCAAAAUCUAGUGUAAGCCCUCCUCAUUCAUCUCAUUUACUCCUACAAUUAUCUCCUGAUAUACUCU
ensembl:misc_RNA 7SK 7SK RNA